rnacentral:lncRNA from 10 species
UGCAAGUCACAUUUUAAUAUAGUUUUAAAGUCUUCCAAAUAUAGUAGCAAAUUUAAUCAGAAAAAACACCUGAAACAUCUUAACUAUUAGUACAUUAUUUUAAAGGAUUAUUUCCCUGAUUCCUUGGCUUACUAAACUGUAUUUAUAAAGGUAUAAACUACUGAUUUUUCCAUUUGAGUAUUAUACUAAAUGUAAUUUAGCUGAUAAUUAUAAAUAAAAUUGUUGACUAAGAUCAUGUUUUAAAUAGGGAAAAAAGUUUCCCUUAGUAAACUGGUAAAGACUGUAAGUUGAUAUUUUCAAACUUUUGAUUACUAUAAAGUAGUAAGCAAUAAAAUCCACAUCCCCACAAAAACUUCACUUUUCUUCUAUUGCAAAAAUCUUUACAAAAAAUGUACUCUGAGUGCAUUAUCCGUGUUUGCUUUAAAAAUCAACAAACAUACCAAAAUAAUUCAUCAAGAAAUCAAAGCAAAGAAACAGUUAUCAGUAUCAGGUUUGCUAAAAGAAUAAAUUACUGUGGAAGACAUCCGAGGAGUCUAAAAUGAAUUUGUUGUAGCAGUAACAAGGCUUCAGGCUGAUUCUUAUACUGUUGUUAAAGCAGCCCUCCCGUGCUUUACAGUGAAAAAAAUCAGUGAAUAUUUCUUUAUUUUAAAAAAUUAUCAAUAGCUUCAAAAUAAUGUUUAAACUUGCCUUGAGAACAUGUACUGGCUAUGAUAAAUCCAUUAUUUGACAUAUUGGGUGAGUUUUUUUAGUGAUCUAAAAGAAAUUGGCUAAAACCCAUACAUGACAGGUUUGGGAAGCUCUAACUCAGGUCAGAAAAGUGGGAGAGAGAUCAGAUCCUUUUUAUGGAAUGAAAGAGCAACAAUUUAAAUAUCUUUUUUGAAAUAGUGAAACAUUUUGGGCUCAAUUAGUCUUUAUUACUUUCUUUCUUUUUACAGAGACGAGCAGUAAGCUAAAAAUAUUAAAAUAUCAACACUAGCUUAUUCUCAAAAACAAUUUUCUGCUAUAUAAAGUGCUUGUAACUAAUAAUAUACAUUAAAAAUGGCAACUCUUAAGAUCAUGAAUGGCCUGUCUCACUGCCAGCAAUGAGAGUAGUAUAUGCUAAGGGACACCAUGAUAUUUAGAGAAGACAAAAAAUAUGUAUUCAAUUAUUUCCUAUAGUUCUAAUACUGUCAUUAUACCAGUAAGCAUAAAAUAAUCUUAUUUUGAUAUGGUAAUUAAACAAAAAUUAUUAUGGCAGAGUAAAAUGCAAGGAACUAACUCCUUAGGGAUUUCUGACCAUUAAGUAUUUUUACUAGUUCAUAAUGAAGUUAAAUAUGACUAGAACACAAUUCAGAAAAAAGAGACUAAUUUAUUUGUUUUAUAAAAUAGAAUGAGCGCUUA